UACGUAGGGACCAAGCGUUGUUCGGAUUUACUGGGCGUAAAGGGCGCGUAGGCGGCGUGGUAAGUCACUUGUGAAAUCUCUGAGCUUAACUCAGAACGGUCAAGUGAUACUGCUGUGCUAGAGUGCGGAAGGGGCAAUCGGAAUUCUUGGUGUAGCGGUGAAAUGCGUAGAUAUCGGAAGGAACACCAGUGGCGAAAGCGGCUUCCUGGUCCAGCACCGACGUUCAGGCACGAAAGCGUGGGGAGCAAACAGG
rnacentral:rRNA from 1 species